AACGAACGCUGGCGGCAUGCCUAACACAUGCAAGUCGAACGAGACCUUCGGGUCUAGUGGCGCACGGGUGCGUAACGCGUGGGAAUCUACCCUCAGGUUCGGAAUAACUCAGAGAAAUUUGAGCUAAUACCGGAUGAUGACUUAAGUCCAAAGAUUUAUCGCCUGAGGAUGAGCCCACUUAGGAUUAGGUAGUUGGUGAGGUAAAGGCUCACCAAGCCGACGAUCCUUAGCUGGUCUGAGAGGAUGAUCAGCCACACUGGGACUGAGACACGGCCCAGACUCCUACGGGAGGCAGCAGUGGGGAAUAUUGGACAAUGGGCGAAAGCCUGAUCCAGCAAUGCCGCGUGAGUGAUGAAGGCCUUAGGGUUGUAAAGCUCUUUUACCCGGGAUGAUAAUGACAGUACCGGGAGAAUAAGCUCCGGCUAACUCCGUG
rnacentral:rRNA from 1 species